GUCCGGGGCGAGUGCUAUAAUGCAGUCGACGCGUUGGCCCUUUGAUUGAUGGUGCUUGCACCAGAUUGAUUUUGGUCGCCGACGAAUGGCGGACGGGUGAGUAACACACCUGUCACCUGCCCAGAAACGGGGGACAACAUUUGAUGCCAGAUGCGAAUACCGCCUAACACCGUUUGUCGCUUGAACGACGCUUGGAAGAUGGCUUCUCGCUAUCACUUCUGGAUGGACCUGCGGUGCAUUGGCUUGUUGGUGGGGUAAUGGCCUACCGAGGCGAUGAUGCAUAGCCGAGUUGAUAGACUGAUCGGCCACAAUGGGACUGACACACCUCCCAUACUCCUACGGGAGGCGGAAUCAUGGAAUCUGCCACAAUGGGCGCAGGCCUGAUGGAGCAACACCGCGUGAGGGAAUAAGGGUUUCAGCUCCUAAAGCUCUGUUGUAAAGGAAGAACACGUAUGAGAGUAACUGUUCAUACGUUGACGGUAUUUAACCACAAAGAACGGCUAACUACGUGCCAGCAGCCGCGGUAAUACGUAGGUGGCUAGCGUUAUCCGGAUUUAUUGGGCGUAAAGAGAGUGCAGGCGGUUUUCUAAGUCUGAUGUGAAAGCCUUCCGCUUAACCGCAUAAGUGCAUGGGAAACUGGAUAACUUGAGAGCACAAUAGAACUCCGUAACUCCAUGUGUAGCGCUGAAAUGCAUAGAUAUAUGCAAGAGCACCAGUGGCGAAUGUGGCUACCUGCUCUGCAACUGACUCUGAGACUCGAAAGCAUGACUAGAUAACAUGAUCAGAUACCCUGUGACUCCAUGCCGUAAACCAUGAGUGCUAGGUGUUGCAGGGCUUCCGCGCCUCAGUGCCCGAACUAACGCAUUAACCACUCCGACUUGGAGAGUACGACUGCAACGUCUGAAGCUCUGACGAAUUGACGCACGACCGCACGAAGCAUGGGAGUUAUGUGCUUAACUACGCAACUACGCGUACCACCUCAUCGACGUCUUGACAUCAUGCGACAGCUCUAGAGAUAGGGUUCUUCUCCUUCAGUGAACACGAUGACAAGUGGUGCCAUGGCACCUCGUCAGCUCGAUGAUCGUUGAGAUGAUUGCGCUCAAGCC
rnacentral:rRNA from 2 species